GAGUUUGAUCGUAGCUCAGAUUGAACGCUGGCGGCAUGCCUUACACAUGCAAGUCGAACGGCAGCAUGAUCUAGCUUGCUAGAUUGAUGGCGAGUGGCGAACGGGUGAGUAAUACAUCGGAACGUGCCCUGUAGUGGGGGAUAACUAGUCGAAAGAUUAGCUAAUACCGCAUACGACCUGAGGGUGAAAGUGGGGGACCGCAAGGCCUCAUGCUAUAGGAGCGGCCGAUGUCUGAUUAGCUAGUUGGUGGGUAAAGGCCCACCAAGGCGACGAUCAGUAGCUGGUCUGAGAGGACGAUCAGCCACACUGGGACUGAGACACGGCCCAGACUCCUACGGGAGGCAGCAGUGGGGAAUUUUGGACAAUGGGCGAAAGCCUGAUCCAGCAAUGCCGCGUGUGUGAAGAAGGCCUGGUGUAAG
rnacentral:rRNA from 1 species